rnacentral:lncRNA from 1 species
UGGAUUCGAAGCCUUCGCCGGCAGCUAAGUUGAAGAGUCUGUUGCCGCCACAGCCGCCGCCGUCAAAUCCUCUCAAACAGAAGCUUGGGAAAGACUGGGUAUUCACAUUUUUUCAACCUUUCAAGAGAGACAACUCUCAGGCCAAGCAGUCUAGCAUUUUCGAACUCUCGCGCCGAGUUUGCUUAAGCUGUUCUUUGUUGCAGCGCGGUGCUUUCUCAUUUUUGCUUGGCAUACUUGAUCAUAUUGCUUUGUCUGCUGGUAUUCGGGAUCAUUGCUGGUGCUAUUCACAUGCCUAUCCUGGCAUAUUGGUGA